rnacentral:rRNA from 1 species
GACGAACGCUGGCGGCGUGCCUAAUACAUGCAAGUCGAGCGAAGCGGCGGAUGGGUGAGUAACGCGUGGGUAACCUGCCCUUAAGUUUGGGAUACCAGUUGGAAACAGAUGCUAAUACCGGAUAAUAAAGGAUGGACCUGCGUUGCAUUAGCAAGUUGGUAAGGUAACGGCUUACCAAGGCGAUGAUGCAUAGCGGGUUUUAGAGGCUGAUCGGCCACAUUGGGACUGAGACACGGCCCAGACUCCUACGGGAGGCAGCAGUAGGGAAUAUUCCACAAUGGACGAAAGUCUGAUGGAGCAACGCCGCGGGAGUGAAGAAGGUUUUCGGAUCGUAAAGCUCUUUUGUUGGUGAAGCGGUAAUCAACCAGAAAGUCACGGCUAACUACGUGCCAGCAGCCGCGGUAAUUC